ensembl:lncRNA
CCCGGUCUCUCGCAAAUGCUCGCAUAGAAUCGGAGUUACAGCUGGAUGUGGAAAAAAUAACUGAGUUGUUUGGUGGUGCUAUAACGCGGAGCUACAACAGUGGGCAGCUAUCCACCGGUGUAUGACAGAAAGGACAUGCCGCGACCGCCGAUCGACCGGUGUUUGCUAACGCGGAGGUCAAUCGUGGAUCAGGGAAAGCGAAGGCAGGGCGUGAGGUCAAUCGUGGAUCAGGGAAAGCGAAGGCAGGAGCGUGAGGUGAACUGAAUUUCAGGUAAGAAGUUAUGACCUGCACUCUAUUUGGGUCAGAUAUAAACCGAGUUUAGGUGUAGUUUAUUUAGCAGCAGUUCUCUUAUGUGUUGCUGAUAGCCGGCUAGCUAGCUAGCGCCGCUAGCAUAGUUAGCUCGCGCCGCUAGCAACCCUUCGUGAAAAAGCAC